rnacentral:rRNA from 1 species
UGGGGGAUAUUGCACAAUGGGCGAAAGCCUGAUGCAGCGACGCCGCGUGGGGGAUGAAGGCCUUCGGGUUGUAAACUUCUUUUGCUCUGAACAAGGCAUGCCUUUGGGGUGUGUUGAGUGUAGGGGUUGAUUAGCGCCGGCUAACUACGUGCCAGCAGCCGCGGUAAUACGUAGGGCGCGAGCGUUGUCCGGAAUUAUUGGGCGUAAAGGGCUUGUAGGUGGCUGGUUGCGUCUGUCGUGAAAGCUCAUGGCUUAACUGUGGGUUUGCGGUGGGUACGGGCUGGCUUGAGUGCAGGAGGGGAGGCUGGAAUUCCUGGUGUAGCGGUGGAAUGCGCAGAUAUCAGGAGGAAUACCGGUGGCGAAGGCGGUUCUCUGGGCUGUUACUGACGCUGAGGAGCGAAAGCGUGGGGAGCGAACAGG